rnacentral:rRNA from 1 species
GUGGAUUAGAUACCCUGGUAGUCCACGCCGUAAACGAUGGAUACUAGCUGUUGGGCGCAAGUUCAGUGGCUAAGCGAAAGUGAUAAGUAUCCCACCUGGGGAGUACGAACGCAAGUUUGAAACUCAAAGGAAUUGACGGGGGCCCGCACAAGCGGUGGAGCAUGUGGUUUAAUUCGAUGAUACGCGAGGAACCUUACCAAGGCUUAAAUGUAGAUUGACCGUUUUGGAAACAGAACUUUCGCAAGACAAUUUACAAGGUGCUGCAUGGCCGUCGACAGCU